CCGUGCCUGUCCCAGCACCAGGCUGCCAGGACGGGCAGCCAGAGCACAUCUCAGUGCUGCCAGGCUGUGCCCACAGACCCCGCUGCAGUGCAGCUCUGCCAGCAAUGCCAGAGCACACUGUGAGCUCCCUCCUUCCAGUCACCAGCCCCAGCGCCUGAACAAAACCAGACUCUUGAUCACGGACUUGGAGGAAUUUUGGAGCCAAAGGGGCCACGACAGCAGCACCAUGAAACAGUUUUUAAAGCCAAACACCCAAUGAGCACAGUGCUUCUGACAGAACAAACAUUUCGAACCAAGCCCAGAGAA